CCGUGGGGGGUCCUGGGGCCCAAGCUCCGCCGCGCUGGCCUCGCUGUGGCUCCCGGGUGCCUCGGACUCGCGGCCUUGGGCACAGCAGCCGGCCUGAGGCGUGGACGCUCGCGUUCUAAAUGACUGAUCAGAUUUAAUGAUUCCGCUGCGUUAAGGCGCUCCUGGUCGCCGGACCGGCUGGUUCGCUCUCUGUCUCUUGGAAACACUUUCAAACCUCAAGAGACUUAAGAUGUCAGCGUUCGAGCGCUUCCCGGCUCAGGGUCAAACUAACGCAGGGAUGAUGCACGAGGGCAACCUGUGCCCCGGGAGCCGGGCCCGGAGACCACACUCCGCACCUUCCACGGACUCGCCUCCCAUCAGUCAACGGCGCCCGCUCCCUCUGUGACUCAAUUUUGAAGUUGAUAGUUAAGCCUUAAUUUAGAGCCUUAUCUCUGGUAAUGGCUCUUAACUGCUUUAACUGCUCAUCAGUUUUCCUUGUGCUAAGCAAGAGUCAUCAGCUCACAUUUCAUUGAAAACUCAUUUAACCAUCUCCCAUAUGCUUUUAAGGACAAAAAAGCAAUACACUUAAUUAAGAUUUGAAAAACAACAGCUACAACGACUUCUCUAGGUUAAUAGUAUGUAAGCUAUUCUUUCUUCAACAGGCGGAGAUCUGGAUAAAAUAUUUGAAUGAUGUUUACUGAAUACUGGAAAUUCAUCAUGUAUCCAAAUGCCUUACAGCGAUGCAAUUAAACAAUUUUCUAAUUUGCAAAAUAGAGGGUUUCAUCUCCCAGUCAAGCCCCUAUUUCUGUACUGCACAAGAACAAGGCAGAAGGAAGCCGGAAAAGGGAGGAGACCAGAAGUAAAGGAAAUACCCCGUUACAAGUGGUGAACUGUUCCAGCUGACAAGUGUGAAGGGGGACCUCACAGAAGGCUCAGGAGGGUUAUCGCAUAUUUGAACACAACGUUAGCCUCACAACUUAUGAGAACAAAAAUAGCACUCAGAUGUAUGAAAUCUGCCUAAAUAAGCAAAACAAGGCAUGAUACACAUAAAACCCACAGAGCUAUGAGUAUCUGUGUUAUUACUCAUAUUCUAUUUACAAAUCUUUAGAAGUCCUUAAAGCAGUACUCCUGCUACCCAUGUAGUACACGGUUACAAAGUCAAGUUGCUAAGGAAAAUUUACAACCACACAAAUAAAUCAGCAAAGCAGAAGAAAUAGUGAAGUUUUCCAAACCCUAAGAUCUUUAGGCCCCCUGGAUUAUUAGUCUGAGUCGUGAUCUCAGGGUUGUGAGAUCCAGCCCUGCCUCAAGCUCCAUGGAUCAGACUACAGCUGCAAGUCAGGCAAAAUGAAUUCCUGCACGGUAGAAAAUAAAAAUGUCUACUCCUGCUAACAGAAGAUAAGAUACCUGAAAUUAUACAGUUUUGGGUCCAUUUGGCCUCCUCAAGGACUUACUCUUCUUACUAUUGCCUAUCUUAGCCUUAAUCAUUAACUUCUCCCUUUCUGCUAGAUCAUUUUCAUACAUACCCUCUAAGUAUUUUUGAUAAAAAAAUACAGUCAAAACUACAAUAACAAGAGACACUUUUCAUGCCAUGCUGUCACCUUCUUUCAUACACACAAAAUAACUUCUGGAAGGAAACAUUUGACAAAAGCAUUUCUCAAUGCUGGCAGCAUAUUAGAAUUCCUGAGGAACUCUUAAAAUACUCCAAGCUCUAAAGAUACUGCUAAGUAAGCUCUUUCCUCUAUACCUUUCCUCCCUCCCAGAAGCUCUGGUUUAACUGAUUUGAGAUUAGACUGGUUUAGGAUUAGACUACCGAUAACUUCCAAAGUUCCAUAGGUAAUUCUAAGAUGAAUCCAGGGUUGAAAGACAUUAGUUUCUAUUCUUUUUUUCAAUUCCCAUCAAUGCUACUCCAUUGAAACUCUACUACCUGAGGUCACCAAUCACUUCCAUGUUAUCAGAUACAAUAGUCACAUUUUGUCCUCAUCUUACCUUCUCUUCAGCAUCCCAAGUGACAAUUCCCUUCCUGACAGUUUACUUUUUCUCAGCUUCCACAACACCACAGUCUUCUGUUUUUUGUUUUUGUUUUUGUUUCUUUUCUUUUUCUUUUUUUUUUUUUUCCCCGUCUAAACAGUGACUCUGGAUUAUCUUUGGUGCCUCCUCUUUUGCUAGGUUUUGAAAUGUUAUUACAUCCUGAGGUUCAAUUCUGAGAAUCUUUGUUUUAAUCUAAACUUUCUCUUUAGGGAGUCUCAUUUAGUCCAAUGGGUUUAAAUACUAUCUACAUAGCUGACUCUCAAAUUGUUAACAUUAAUCCUGACAACUCAAUAUUUGUAAAUCCAACUGCUUAUUUGACAUCUAUACUUGAAUAUCUAGGAGGGCACCUCAACAACUACAAAAUAAAACUCUGGAUUCAA